ACACACACACACACACACACACACACACACACAAAAGGCAGGUAGAAGAGCGCAGCAGAACAUCUCACAUGCUCGAUCCAGAGAAACUCAAAGUGCUUUUCAUGCUUCAGAGUGCAGAGAGCAUGCAGAGGAGGAAGAGGAGGAGGAGGA